UGCUGCUCAAGGGUGAUUCUCGGCCAUGGAUCUAAACGUGCUGCCCAAGUAUAAAUUCCACCCUUUGAUUCUUCUUGCUGCCCACGCUGAUCCACUCCCAACCCUUGAUCAAUUCUACCCAAAAUAAUCCAAGCCAUCCGUUUGUGCAUAAAAGUAGAGCAGCCCAUUAACGGACAGCACUCCUCCUUUUCCCUCUGCAUUCUCUUCUCUUCUCUUCUCUUCUUCCUCAGUUUUUCUCUUUUCUGCAAGCUCUCCCUCUGUCGCUGAAAUAAAAGAAAAAGAAAGAGAGAGCAGCCCUCCUCUUCUUCGCUUCUUUAGUUUUCUUCUCUUCUUUAGACUCUCUUUCUUUAUUUCAGUCCAACAGAAAAUAAAGGAUCCUCUUCCCUUCUUGUUCGGACAGCAGCCUCCAAAAGCAAAAGCAAUAGCUCCUUCCUCUAAUCUCUCACGGCACACACAGAAAAGAAUAGAGGAAGAUAUCUCCAGGAUUUUCUUCUUCUUGUAGAAGGUAGCUAAAAUAUUGCUCUGAAGAUAUCAGAUAACACUGUAGACCAGAGUCUUUUUGUUAUGGAUGGCAUAGACCCCACCCCUAAGAGCAAUAGAUCAAUAAAAACCGGCCAAACUUUUGUAUUGUGCAUAUUUAUUUUGAAUUUCUGAAAAUAUGAUGUAAUAACUAAAGAACUACUAAUAUGUAUAUGUUCUUAUAAUGAAAUAUAGCUAUGCGCUAUUCCUGGGAAAUUGUGUACAUGUUUUAAAUUAUAGAGAUGUUUUAUAGCUCAAGUUCGCGUUUCCCUUAUAUCCCAAAACGGGGGCGUGACAAUAAAUCCUGGUGUAAAAUAGUUCAGUUACCCCCUUUUUUAUGAUCCUGUACGACAUAUGCCCAUUUUGUCCUUAUCAAGCGCGGGGCUUUAUGUAGAUAUCUAAUAUCAUCUCUAACUUGAUUUGACUAGUCUAGAAAAUAUUGAAGACCGAAGCAUUUGGCCUAGUUUCAGGAUCCGGGGACUAAUCGGGAACCAUGAGUCCGAGAUCCAACCCGAGGGCUAAUCUGGCCCUAUUUUAAAUAGGGGACAAAUAUUUCCCCAACAAUUACAAUAACAUAAAUAUUAGAAAAAAUAGACACCUACUUCCCCUGAAGACCCAACGAGAAGCCAGCAAGAACAACGUGAAGACAAGGAAAAUAAGCGAAAAAGAUGUAACUACUAUACAAGGAAGAAAUGGGUCAACUAGAGGAAAACAGAAUGUGUGUUUACCCUGUGAAGGAACGGAAACAGAACAACCUUCAAUUUGUUCUUUAUGACUUUUAUACAAGGAAGGACCUUGAGAUGUCCAUCAACAAUGAAAG